rnacentral:rRNA from 1 species
CAGAUUGAACGCUGGCGGCAGGCCUAACACAUGCAAGUCGAACGGUAGCACAGAGAGCUUGCUCUCGGGUGACGAGUGGCGGACGGGUGAGUAAUGUCUGGGAAACUGCCUGAUGGAGGGGGAUAACUACUGGAAACGGUAGCUAAUACCGCAUAACGUCGCAAGACCAAAGAGGGGGACCUUCGGGCCUCUUGCCAUCAGAUGUGCCCAGAUGGGAUUAGCUAGUAGGUGGGGUAACGGCUCACCUAGGCGACGAUCCCUAGCUGGUCUGAGAGGAUGACCAGCCACACUGGAACUGAGACACGGUCCAGACUCCUACGGGAGGCAGCAGUGGGGAAUAUUGCACAAUGGGCGCAAGCCUGAUGCAGCCAUGCCGCGUGUAUGAAGAAGGCCUUCGGGUUGUAAAGUACUUUCAGCGGGGAGGAAGGCGAUAAGGUUAAUAACCUUGUCGAUUGACGUUACCCGCAGAAGAAGCACCGGCUAACUCCGUGCCAGCAGCCGCGGUAAUACGGAGGGUGCAAGCGUUAAUCGGAAUUACUGGGCGUAAAGCGCACGCAGGCGGUCUGUCAAGUCGGAUGUGAAAUCCCCGGGCUCAACCUGGGAACUGCAUUCGAAACUGGCAGGCUGGAGUCUUGUAGAGGGGGGUAGAAUUCCAGGUGUAGCGGUGAAAUGCGUAGAGAUCUGGAGGAAUACCGGUGGCGAAGGCGGCCCC